AGAAAGGAACUUCACGUUGCAAUUUCUGAAGCCACGGUGUUUCGCGUGUCAUCGAUAAUCGUACGACUCGCUUACGCAACAAGAUCGAAUACGCAAUUAUGUCUUUCUCUCUUCAACUAUCGCAACGUUGCUGUUGCUGUUGCCGUAGUUGUUGCUGUUGCUGUUGCUGUUGUUACUGUCACGUGAAGUCUGUACAGUUUAUAUGUUACAUAUCUUCGUUGUAUAAAAACAAGAAUUAUUACUAGUCGAUAAAUCAUUCAUGCGACACGCGGCUGCUUCAUGAAACCAUCGAAAACAAUUAAUUACACGUUUAUUAUUAUUAUUAUUUAAUUAGAAGAAGAAAAAAAAAAGAA